AACGAACGCUGGCGGCAUGCCUAACACAUGCAAGUCGAACGAGACCUUCGGGUCUAGUGGCGCACGGGUGCGUAACGCGUGGGAAUCUACCCUCAGGUUCGGAAUAACUCAGAGAAAUUUGAGCUAAUACCGGAUGAUGACGUAAGUCCAAAGAUUUAUCGCCUGAGGAUGAGCCCGCGUAGGAUUAGGUAGUUGGUGAGGUAAAGGCUCACCAAGCCGACGAUCCUUAGCUGGGCUGAGAGGAUGAUUAGCCACACUGGGACUGAGACACGGCCGAGACUACUACGGGAGGCAGCAGUGGGGAAUAUUGGACAAUGGGCGAAAGCAUGAUCCAGCAAUGCCGCGUGAGUGAUGAAGGCCUUAGGGUAGUAAAGCUCUUUUAUCCGGGAUGAUAAUGACAGUACCGGGAGAAUAAGCACCGGCUAACUCCGUG
rnacentral:rRNA from 1 species